AAGAAACAAGACAAGACAAACGUUAAAAGAAAGGAGGACAUUCUGAUAUAAAACAAUUUUGAACGACAAAACAUGAACAGGAAAUUAUACGACUCGUUUUUGGAUGGUCAACCCCGUCAAGAGUGAUCAACGUGGUGCAGGAUUAUUCCUACAAUUACUGUGAGUGGUGUAGUGGAUGGCUGGAAAGAAGAGCCUACCAAGACCCUCACGUCAUCAAAAACAUCCCAGUUUUGACCUGGUGGAAGGUGGUUUAAAACGGAUUUUUGGAGCCGCCAGUGGU